AGAAAUUGCCAUCAAUAUCACCAACAAUUGCUCGAAUAUGAUCCUCAAAUCAUGUUAUUAUUAAAUCUUCUAGUAUCUCUAUUUAAGCCUCACCAUCGUUAGCCUCAUUGAUUAACCCAUCACUAAUAUCGAGUAGCCAUUUAGAAAAUGUAAUACCUCGUAAGAUAUUGCCUCUCUUCACCUGCGUAAAAGCCUUAGUUAAUCUACUUUUUAUUAAAAAAAAUUUUUUUUAAAAUUUAAACAAUAAUAUACCUGGUAGUUGAGAAAACAUAUAUUUAUUUAUUUUAUCAACGUCGUUGUUUCUUGAAUUAAGAAUAGCUCUUAUCCUGAAAAGCACGUCGGUGUUGCAAAUGAAUUACCAUAAAUAUCACCAACAAUUGC
rnacentral:lncRNA from 1 species